rnacentral:rRNA from 1 species
UACACGCUGUGACUAGCAUAUCAAUAAGCGGAGGAAAAGAAACUAACAAGGAUUCCCUUAGUAACGGCGAGUGAAGCGGGAAGAGCUCAAAUUUGAAAUCUUGAAAGGUCACCUUUCACGAAUUGUAGUUUAAAGAAGUGUUUUCUGUUACGAUCGUAAUAUAAGUUCUUUGGAAUAGGACAUCAUAGAGGGUGAGAAUCCCGUCUAUGAUUGCGAUUUGUAGCUUUGUGAUACACUUUCAAAGAGUCGGGUUGUUUGGGAAUGCAGCCCAAAACGGGAGGUAAAUUUCUUCUAAGGCUAAAUAUUGGCGAGAGACCGAUAGCGAACAAGUACCGUGAGGGAAAGAUGAAAAGAACUUUGAAAAGAGAGUUAAAUAGUACGUGAAAUUGUCAAAAGGGAAGCGUUUAACACCAGUGUUGUUUUCUGAAAAUCAACCUCUGUUAGCUUUAUGCAUGUUUGUUUAGACCUAAUCAGCUAUCUUUCAUGUUCUAUUGUUUGCAGUGGUGCACUUUUCAGUUUACAGGUCAACAUCAGUUUUUUUUACCGUAAAAAAGUUAAAGAAAGGUAGCUCAUGGCUCUGGUCGUGAGUGUUAUAGUCUUUUUCCUAUGCGGUAGGAGAGACUGAGGUCUGCAGUGUAGGCUACUUGGCUAGAUACUCAGGUGCUAUGUGAUACCAUUUCAUAAACAACUUGUUGAUUAUGUUUUGUCUAUUGCAUACUCGCUUGUACUAUCAUACCUACGCUUAGGAUGUUGAGUAGCGACAUACGCAC